rnacentral:misc_RNA from 1 species
AAAUAAAAUAAAAUAAAAAUCAAUAAAAAUAACUAAAAGAGGAUGAAAUGCCCACUUCUUGUCUGGCUGAAUUUCUAAUGAUGUUAAUUAGAGAUCUAAGGUACAUCAUUAUGUCUUUCAUUACAGAUGCAUGACUAUCAAACUUUACUGCCAGAAGCAUUCUUUCUUUUCCUACACAGUUCGCUUCCUAUACAAUCCAAAACU